UUAUUAAUUACAGCAAUUCUUCUGAUGUUUCUCACUCCCCUUGCUUUGAUCAAAUCCCACUUAUUCGACUAGACCUGCUGUUGAUCGUCUAGUCAUCAUCGUUCUUGAUGCCCUCAGGUAUUUCUUCAAUUCACUCUCUCGCUUCUAUUUUUCUAACCUAAUGUUUUCUUUUUUCAGAUUUGAUUUCGUUGAUCCCACUCCCAGUUCAUUUUUUCAAAGGUCCAUUCAACUGCAUUUUCCAAUGGAGGUACUUUUAGUUUAUUUUUCAUGUAUUACUCAGACACUGUUGUAGCUAAAAGCCCUUUUUGUUGUAGUGAUAGCUUCGGUGCUCCAGCCAUUGUUGAGGAUAACUUCAUACAUCAGUUGGAAAGCGGCUAGUGAUGAUGGGGGGGUACAGUUGUUUCCUAAUCAUUUCAAAAAAUCUUAUCCUUGCCCUCUUUCAAUGUUAAAGAUCUUCAUACGGUGGGCAAUGUAUGUAUUGAGCACCUAUUUCUGUCUUUGUAUGAAGAAGAUUGGGAUGUCCUUAUUGCACAUUUUCUUGGUGUGGCUGUAUCGGAGAAUUUAGUUUUAAUUAUUUUGCUUCAGAAAGUGAUAAGAAGCCAGUCAGAACCAGGUGGCAUACAUGAGAAUACUUUCCUUCUUGUGAUGGGUGAUCAUGGUGGGGGUACUGCUGAUUCUAUAACGCCUAUUUUCUUCAUCUGUUGUCCUCAUUGUUUUCUUUCUAGUAUAGAAAUAUGAGAUAGUUUCCAAUUAAACUGAGGAAAGAACAAGCAUAUAUAUAGUCAUUAGAAAUACAAGCAUAAUACCAAAUUUAUUUCACAAGAUGAAGAAUCAAGUUCAAAUGGUAUGGAGGAUGGAGGCUGUUUAAAGCUCAUACCGAAAAUUGAUGCAACAUACCAUUCAAGUUAGA